rnacentral:rRNA from 1 species
UACGUAGGGUGCGAGCGUUAAUCGGAAUUACUGGGCGUAAAGCGCGCGUAGGCGGCUGCCUAAGUCGGGUGUGAAAGCCCCGGGCUCAACCUGGGAACUGCACUCGAUACUGGGCGGCUAGAGUAUGAGAGAGGGAGGUAGAAUUCCACGUGUAGCGGUGAAAUGUGUAGAUAUGUGGAGGAAUACCGGUGGCGAAGGCGGCCUCCUGGUUCAAUACUGACGCUGAGGUGCGAAAGCGUGGGGAGCAAACAGG